rnacentral:rRNA from 1 species
GAUGAACGCUGGCGGCGUGCUUAACACAUGCAGGUCGAACGGUGAAGCAGGAGCUUGCUCUUGUGAAUCAGUGACGAACGGGUGAGUAACACGUGAGCAACCUGCCCCUGACUCUGGGAUAAGCGCUGGAAACGGCGUCUAAUACUGGAUAUGUGAUGUGACCGCAUGGUCUGCAUCUGGAAAGAAUUUCGGUUGGGGAUGGGCUCGCGGCCUAUCAGCUUGUUGGUGAGGCAAUGGCUCGCCAAGGCGUCGACGGGUAGCCGGCCUGAGAGGGUGACCGGCCACACUGGGACUGAGACACGGCCCAGACUCCUACGGGAGGCAGCAGUGGGGAAUAUUGCACAAUGGGCGGAAGCCUGAUGCAGCAACGCCGCGUGAGGGAUGACGGCCUUCGGGUUGUAAACCUCUUUUAGCAGGGAAGAAGCGAAAGUGACGGUACCUGCAGAAAAAGCACCGGCUAACUACGUGCCAGCCGCCGCCGUAA